rnacentral:tRNA from 1 species
GGCUCGGUAGCUAAGUUGGCUAAGGCAUCUACGCUACUAUUAGUAGCGUAGCUAUCGUAGGUUCGAUCCCUACCCGAGUUA